rnacentral:rRNA from 1 species
UACGGAGGGUGCGAGCGUUAUCCGGAUUCACUGGGUUUAAAGGGUGCGUAGGUGGGCCGGUAAGUCAGUGGUGAAAUCUCCGGGCUUAACCCGGAAACUGCCAUUGAUACUAUCAGUCUUGAAUACCGUGGAGGUAAGCGGAAUAUGUCAUGUAGCGGUGAAAUGCUUAGAUAUGACAUAGAACACCAAUUGCGAAGGCAGCUUACUACCCGAAUAUUGACACUGAGGCACGAAAGCGUGGGGAUCAAACAGG